rnacentral:siRNA from 1 species
ACCUACUUGACUCAGCGGUUAGAG